rnacentral:rRNA from 1 species
AUGGCUCCCCUUACGCCGUCCUCGUCUCUAAUGCCGGUUAUGGACGCACGAAUGAGGCUGAUAAUUCAGGCAGCAACAUCGAUUAGUAUGAUUCAGGCAUGGGUCAUGUUCAUGCACCAGAGAGUUGUUUUUCGUGUUGGGAGACCUUUGAUCCACUAUAGUCCAUUGUUUAUCCGGGAACAGGAGAGGAUCCAAAAUCUGAACUACAUCUACAACUGCAAUGACGUCGAGGCUCCGUGGAUGCUUUGA